rnacentral:rRNA from 1 species
AUUGAACGCUGGCGGCAUGCCUUACACAUGCAAGUCGAACGGUAACAGGUCUUCGGAUGCUGACGAGUGGCGAACGGGGGAGUAAUACAUCGGAACGUGCCUAGUAGUGGGGGAUAACUACUCGAAAGAGUGGCUAAUACCGCAUGAGGACUACGGAUGAAAGCAGGGGAUCGCAAGACCUUGUGCUACUAGAGCGGCCGAUGGCAGAGUAGGGAGUUGGUGGGAUAAAAGCUUACCAAGCCGACGAUCUGUAGCUGGUCUGAGAGGACGACCACCCCAACUGGGCCUGAGACACGGCCCAAACUCCUACGGGAGGCACCAGGGUGGAUCUUUGGACAAUGGGCGCAAGCCUGAUCCAGCAAUGCCGCGUGCAGGAUGAAGGCCUUUGGUUUGUAAACUGCUUUUGUACGGAACGAAAAGCCCUUGGUUAAUACCCUGAGGUCAUGACGGUACCGUAAGAAUAAGCACCGGCUAACUACGUGCCAGCCGCCGCAGUAACAC